CCGCCAUUAGCUCAUCGGGAAAGAGCGCCAGCCUUCGAAGCUGGCUGCGCGGGGUUCAAGUCCCCGAUGGCGGUCCA
rnacentral:tRNA from 1 species